rnacentral:rRNA from 1 species
AUUGAACGCUAGCGGGAUGCCUUACACAUGCAAGUCGAACUGAGUGGCGAACGGGGGAGUAAUGUAUCGGAACGUGCCCAGUAGCGGGGGAUAAAUAUGCGAAAGCGUAGCGAAUACCGCAUAAUAAUGAAGCGGCCGAUAUCGGAUUCGCUAGCUGGUGGGGUAACGGCUCACCAAGGCGACGAUCCGUAGCUGGUUUGAGAGGACGAACAGCCAAACUGGGACUGAGACACGGCCCAGACUCCUACGGUAGGCAGCAGUGGGGAAUUUUGGACAAUGUGGGAAACCCUGAUCCAGCCAUCCCGCGUGUGCGAUGAAGGCCUUCGGGUUGUAAAGCACUUUUGGCAGGAAAGCGGUACCUGCAGAAUAAGCACCGGCUAACUACGUGCCAGCAGCCGCGGUAAUAC